rnacentral:lncRNA from 13 species
AUGGGGAGAGUGCACGAGGAGAGGAGCAAUGAGAGUUGGAGAAGCAGCUUUUUUCUUGCUCAAGGUGUCAAAGUGAGGAUGUGGUGGGUCCUCUGGUGCGAAAUUCCGGAUAUCCUCAGGUCUUCCGGUAGGAGUUGUGAUCAACCGUGCUGCCAACACAGGAGCCGAAAACCUGUGUAUCAUCUCCAUGAAGGGGAUCAAGGGACAGCUGAUCAGACUUCGCGCUGCUGUGUGGAGCAAAUGGGACUAGAUCAUGGAGGGCCUGGAAAGGGUCUGGCUCUAUCGCCCAUGCUGGAGUGCGGGGGCAUGAUCAUGGCUCUGCUCAACCUCAGACUCCUGGGCUCACUUUAUUAGCUCCUCUUACUGAGAUCCUGCUUACGGGGUUCCUGCACAUAGUAAGUGGAAGUUAACAAAAUUAAUAUUGGAUAUUUGUCCUCCCAUCUCGGCCUCCGGAGUAGCUGGGACUACAGGCACGCGCCACCACAUCCCGCUCAUUUUUUUAGUAGAGAUGCGGUCUUGCCAUGUUGCCGAGGCUUGCCGAACUCCUGAGCUCUGGCAAUCGUCCACCGCAGCCUCCCAACAUGCUGGGCCACCAUGUACGUCUUUUUUUUUUUUUAAUUUUAACACACUGUUGCUGGCUUGAACCUUUUGAGUAAUUUCUAAGAUUUACUCUAGUGUUUGAAAUAAUUCCUGAAGUGUGGGUUUUAUUUCUAUUGCAGGAAGUGCUAAGGGUAGUUAACUUUAUAACAAAUGCGUGCUACUUUAAAGCAGCAGUGAAUACUAAGAAAAGUUCUUAUAGAACAGUGUUAAACAGAUGUAUAACUUCAAUACUUGCUCUUUUCUCCUUGAUUUCAUUAAGUAUAAUGUGGUGAGUAAAAAUUUAAAAUAUUAUUUACACGCAAUUAUAUCCAAUAGAAUUCCUGUUUGCUCAAAUAGGGAGUCCCUAGCCGUUACUCAUGUUGUCCUCCGUCUGUAUUGAACUCUUAAUAGGUUGCAAAAGCUUUGGCAGAACUUUAGAAUCAGAUCAUUUUGCAAAGCCACUUCCUCUCACUACCACUGGUCAUCUGUCAUUUAAGCUGCCAUAAAGCAGGAUUCCAUUCAAAUCAAGUUAAAUUAGAAUCACAGAAGUAAGGCUCAGGCACCAGUGUUUUUAAAACGUUCUCCAAGUAAUUAUAAUGUGCAGCCAGAAUUCCAACUCACCAGGCUAAAUUGCAGUUGCGCAAUUUUGGUCUUCCUGAUAACUGAUUUCUUUGCCCUUUCUUUUUUCUGGUUCAAUGCAUAAAAGUUUUCCUUUCUUUUUUCUGGUCUUCCUGAUAACUGAUUUCUUUGCCCUUUCUUUUUUCUGGUUCAAUGCAUAAAAGUUUUCCUUUCUUUUUUCUGGUUCAAUGCAAAAAAUAUUAGUUUUAUUAGCUUCCACUUACUAAAUUCUGCUUACAGGUUCUUGCUUAGUCUAGCUAGUAAGCAGGAAUUUACUAUAUAAAUUGACAGACUACGUAAGCUAAUAGACUACAUAAGCAGGAACCCUGUAAGCAAGAACUCAGUAAAUGGAAGCUAAUUAAAAUUAUAUGCCAGGCAGGGUGCCUGCAUUUUUUUUGUGCAUUAUCUCAUUUAACUUUCAUAGCAACCUUGAGGUAUAAGCCGUUUCUUUUGGGGGGAGGGCGGAGGAACGGAGUCUUGCUCUGUCGCUCAGGCUGGAGUGCAGUGGCGCGAUCUCGGCUCACUGCAACCUUCGCCUCCCGGGUUCAAGCGAUUCUCCUGCCUCAGCAUCCAAAGUAGCUGAGACUAGAGGCGCGUGCCACAACGCCUGGCUAAUUUUUUUUUGUAUUUUCAGUAGAGAAACAUGGGGUUUCACCAUGUUAGCCAGGAUGGUCUGGGUCUCCUGACCUCGUGAUCCGCCCGCUUCGGCCUCCCAAAGUGCUGGGAUUACAGGCGGGAGCCACCGCGCCUGUCCGGUAGGUGCCAUUUCUAUGAAACCUGACCAGUUAAUGCCCCACUCCGCAGCCCAAGCUCUUACCCACUGCUUCUCUUCUUCAAUUCACUCCUGAUACGGAACUGUCGUGACACUCCAAAGUCUCUAUGUAGUUAUAAAUAAACGUUAUCUGGAAGAGCA